AAAUGAGUAAACUGUGCUUUUGUCAUCGAUAAACAUUUUAUUUUCCCCAAAUUUUGGACAAAAUACUGUGAAAAAUCGUCUCUUUGUUUUUAAAUUAUGAGAGAUUAUUUCAAUGAUAUUAUAUGAUAUUGUAUUGUCUGGAUGGAGCUUUAUAGAUGGCAAAACCACCUGCUAUAUUCUGUGUGGAGACUUCCUUCUGGCUUGUGUUGACAGUAAUCUCGAGUGUGUUCCUGCUUCCUCUCUUAGCCGGUGGAAGAGGCCAUAUUACAACCCCUCGUCUCCUGUAUCUCCCAGCACCCCAACCUCCACUGACUCAGCCUAACACACCAUCAUCCCCACCACCACUUCUCAGCCUUCCAGUGUGCUUGCUGUCUUCCCACUUCUGGAAUCUGUCUAUACCAAGAGGGUGCUUAACAACAGGACUACAUCUUCUCCUGGGACUUAGAGACUAGUACGUGUAUGAACCUUUUCCUCUAUUUCUGAUCCAAAGAUGCUUCUGCUCCGUAGUCCGUUCAUUUGGUCCUCUCUUCAAUCCCAGAUCAUGGUCUUACUGGGGUGAAAAGGCCCUGCUGCCUGAGAAGCAUUUCCUGCUUGGGAUGUGGCUGGGCACAACCUAAACUCCAUUCAGAGGUGAGAACUGUACUGAUUCAGAAGGAAGUUUCUGGUCAUAUUUGGGAAUAUUACCUUGUACGUGUGGUAUCCUAAGAGUAUCUCCUUGAUAACUAAGCCAAGUUCCUGACAAAUUGGAAAAGAAAAGAGCAGCUUUUUAAUGUGACAACAUCUUAUUUUUUGCAGCUAGAAGAGGAGUCCUUGCAGGAGAGGAUCUGCCUGUGUUGGAGAAAUUCUUUGGUGUGUCUUUGGGAGCAGAUCGGUAAGAAGAGAUAAGAGAAGAAAUGGAGUGGUCUGCAGAUAUUUAUACAGAGGAGGAUUCGUAUUUCCUUUCUGUGGUUCCCCAAAUCAUCUAGAAAAUCAGCAUCACAGAAUGCUCUGUGAUAUUACGUGUGUGUGUGUGCACACAGCGAGGUGGAUGGGCUGAUUGAAAAUAGCCUGUGCAGAAUCAAGAAGAAGGAUAUAGAGAAAAAAUGCUGAGGAAGUAAACUCCUAGAAAACUGCAGAAAUUUUUGGUGGGAGUGGAGGCUUCUCACAGGUGGUAGAGCUGAGAUUCUUACCAGGUGUAGCCAACUUUCUGAGGAGAAGGUUCUGUGAUUUCUAUUUCAUAAUUCUCUGACUGUCUAAAGUGCCUGCUUCUUUGGCACUAGUGUCAUUUUGGGCCAUAUGCUUGCUAUCUGAGCAUCUGCAACCUUCGACCCUACAAGGUACUAGCCUUAUGAGAAAGAAAAUUUUGUAAAACUCUUGAAUCUGUGGGACUGUCUCUCACUGUAAGUAACAAAACCAAAAAAAUGGUGUUUCAGGAAUAGGUCAUGUACUAGCUUGUGUAAGAGGAAAUCAGAU
rnacentral:lncRNA from 1 species